rnacentral:rRNA from 2 species
UGGGGAAUUUUGGACAAUGGGCGAAAGCCUGAUCCAGCCAUUCCGCGUGCAGGAUGAAGGCCCUCGGGUUGUAAACUGCUUUUGUACGGAACGAAAAAGCUCCGGCUAAUACCUGGAGUCCAUGACGGUACCGUAAGAAUAAGCACCGGCUAACUACGUGCCAGCAGCCGCGGUAAUACGUAGGGUGCAAGCGUUAAUCGGAAUUACUGGGCGUAAAGCGUGCGCAGGCGGUUUUGUAAGACAGAGGUGAAAUCCCCGGGCUCAACCUGGGAACUGCCUUUGUGACUGCAAGGCUGGAGUGCGGCAGAGGGGGAUGGAAUUCCGCGUGUAGCAGUGAAAUGCGUAGAUAUGCGGAGGAACACCGAUGGCGAAGGCAAUCCCCUGGGCCUGCACUGACGCUCAUGCACGAAAGCGUGGGGAGCAAACAG